AGUGAACGCUGGCGGCAGGCCUAAUACAUGCAAGUCGAACGGCAGCACAGCAGAGCUUGCUCUGUGGGUGGCGAGUGGCGGACGGGUGAGGAAUACAUGGGAAUCUGCCCAGUCGUGGGGGAUAACGUAUGGAAACGUACGCUAAUACCGCAUGCGCCCUACGGGGGAAAGUCGGGGACCGCAAGGCCUGACGCGAUUGGAUGAGCCCAUGUUCGAUUAGCUAGUUGGCGGGGUAAAGGCCCACCAAGGCGACGAUCGAUAGCUGGUCUGAGAGGAUGAUCAGCCACACUGGAACUGAGACACGGUCCAGACUCCUACGGGAGCAGCAGUAGGGAAUAUUGGACAAUGGGGGCAACCCUGAUCCAGCCAUGCCGCGUGAGUGAAGAAGGCCCUCGGGUUGUAAAGCUCUUUUGUCCGGAAAGAAAGCAAUCGGUUAAUACCCGGUUGUUCUGACGGUACCGGAAGAUAAGCACCGGCUAACUUCGUGCC
rnacentral:rRNA from 1 species